rnacentral:rRNA from 1 species
UACGAAGGGAGCUAGCGUUGGUCGGGCUUACUGGGCGUAAAGGGCGCGUAGGCGGUUUAGUAAGUCAGAUGUGAAAGCCCCGGGCUUAACCUGGGAACAGCAUUUGAUACUGCUAGACUAGAGAUCGAAAGAGGAGAGUGGAAUUGCGAGUGUAGAGGUGAAAUUCGUAGAUAUUCGCAGGAACACCAGUGGCGAAGGCGACUCUCUGGUUCGAUACUGACGCUAAGGCGCGAAAGCGUGGGGAGCAAACAGG